GCAAGAGGGGCGAUCAGAGGACACUUAUGAAAUCGCGGUUCUCCCGGGGUGGUGGGGAAAGGUUACCAUGUUGCGUUCGUUCAUCUGCUCCUGCCUCCGCUCAGGGCGACUUGGAGACGGACCUCUGAUCUCCUGGUUCCACUUCAGUGGGCGCUCAGCACGGCGGCUGUCAUCUGCAGACACUGAAGAGCGCACUAAUAGAAUCACAGCCCUCGUUAGCUACUGAAUAAAAGAUCAAUCACAGACUUUGAAAGCUCUUGCUACCAGCUUCCAGAGGAAACAAGGAAGAAAAAAAAAAAAGGAGAGUGAGCAAAAGUGAGAGAGAGAGAGAGAUAUUUAGGAUCAUCGCUGAGAUUCUGAAUGGCCUCGCUGCAAGUUGCUUAAAUUACCUUUUCCACGACUGACUCCAACUGCAAUACUCAGAGGAACUUGUUAAGCCGGCUUUCAAGAGCAGCACUCUAAUAUAUGACUGCUAGACCCUGGUCAAAAGUUCAUAAUGUGCAUAUGUAAAAAGGUACUAAAUUGCCUGAGGGCUAAAACCAGAGGAGUUUAAUUGUAGCAAAAUGCUGAAAAUGGUCUGUUGAGGGUCCUUCUAUUGGGAUACUGCUGGGUCUGGCUGAUUGAAGUACAGAACAUAAAAGCCUUGCAACAAUAUUUCCUUAAAUGCUGGGGAAACUGCCAGCAGUUGGUAUUGCAUGAAUGUUGUGGUUGAAGAAAAACAUUUUCCUCCCCUAAAAUAAAUAGAGUAUUAAGAACUGCUCCAGCCCAUAAUUCUAAAGCAUGACGGAAAAAGGGAGGG